rnacentral:rRNA from 1 species
AUGAACGCUGGCGGCGUGCUUAACACAUGCAAGUCGAGCGAGAAGUUUUGAAAAGAUUCUUCGGAUGAAAUUUAAAAUGGCAAGCGGCGGACGGGUGAGUAACGCGUAGGCAACCUGCCCCAUACAAAGGGAUAGCAUUUGGAAACGAAUAUUAAUACCUUAUGAAACUUAACUAGUGCAUGCUAGGUAGGUCAAAGAUUUAUCGGUAUGGGAUGGGCCUGCGUCUGAUUAGCUAGUUGGUGAGGUAACGGCUCACCAAGGCGACGAUCAGUAGCCGACCUGAGAGGGUGAACGGCCACAUUGGAACGGAGACACGGUCCAAACUCCUACGGGAGGCAGCAGUGGGGAAUAUUGCACAAUGGGGGAAACCCUGAUGCAGCAACGCCGCGUGAACGAUGAAGGCCUUUGGGUCGUAAAGUUCUGUUCUAGGUGAUGAAAACUGACAGUAACCUAGGAGAAAGCCCCGGCUAACUCCGUG